GACGAACCCUGGCGGCGUGCUUAACACAUGCAAGUCGAACGGAAAGGCCCUGCUUUUGUGGGGUGCUCGAGUGGCGAACGGGUGAGUAACACGUGAGUAACCUGCCCUUGACUUUGGGAUAACUUCAGGAAACUGGGGCUAAUACCGGAUAGGAGCUCCUGCUGCAUGGUGGGGGUUGGAAAGUUUCGGCGGUUGGGGAUGGACUCGCGGCUUAUCAGCUUGUUGGUGGGGUAGUGGCUUACCAAGGCUUUGACGGGUAGCCGGCCUGAGAGGGUGACCGGUCACAUUGGGACUGAGAUACGGCCCAGACUCCUACGGGAGGCAGCAGUGGGGAAUAUUGCACAAUGGGCGGAAGCCUGAUGCAGCAACGCCGCGUGCGGGAUGACGGCCUUCGGGUUGUAAACCGCUUUCGCCUGUGACGAAGCGUGAGUGACGGUAAUGGGUAAAGAAGCACCGGCUAACUACGUG
rnacentral:rRNA from 1 species